CCAUUAUUGUCACUAAAAUUUUCUGCUAUCCUAUUUAGACUGUAACUCCGUUUUUUGAUACAUGUAUACACAAGAAAGGUUUAGUCCACCUAUUAACCUAUUUCGAACGUUUAGGAUUGACAUACAAAGCUCUUUCUGUUUGCGAGAGCAGCCAGGGGCGAAACGUUGGUCGAGUCUCCCCCACCUAAGGAAGUUGGGAGUAUUUCACAAUAGUGUCGUUGGAUCUUUAAAAUGAUGUACGCAGAAACUUUAAGGAAUAUGCGCAGACGGUCUGCAUUGACAGAAUGAUACCUAGUUAAUAGCCUGCACUAAAGCAACUGCAUGAGCUGGAAAUCAAGGCGGAAGAACCGUUCGCAAUAAUAUGAUAAAAAGACGUCCUUACUCUAUCCAUACUAGUAAGAUGAAUACACAGCUGCAAAAUUCCGUUGUGACUGGAGGUGGUAACGAAGUUGCAAUACGGGAAUUCCAAGACCAAGACCUUCACGACUGCCGAGAGAUUUUCACUCAGGGAAUGGAGCAGUUGAUCAGUCUAAUAGCACGUAUUGUUUUCCCGAAAUAUAUUUGGAUUUUAUCGGCUUGGAGCAUGCUUGUUUUCGUUCUCGUCAUCAAAUUCCAAUGGACCGCAUACAUCUUCACCCUCCUUGUAAUUACUUGUGUCUUGUUUGCUGCUUCGUUGUAUCUUAAUCUGUAUAUGGAAUGCUGGAGGUUCAUCGAUUCCUGUCUAGCAACAGACUUAAAGGAUAUUGGAAAGUGCUACAUGUCCAAUGAAAAAUGUCGCAUGUGGGUGGCUGAGUGGAACGGUAAAGUUGUGGGAAUGGUGGGACUGAUGCACAACGAAAGUCACAAACCAGGUGUGGGCGAACUUCAAAGGAUGUCUGUAUCACCAGCCUGUAGAAGAAUGGGAAUCGCUAGGAAACUACUCGACGAACUGCUUAAACAUGCCAAGCAUCAGCAUUUUCACAAGGUUGUUCUAACCACCACAAGUGCACAAAUACCAGCCAUUCGACUGUACAAGAAAUACGGCUUCAAACUCAGAACCUCCAUUCCUUAUCCUCAAAAGAUUCUUAGUGAUCUGCAACACUAUUGCUUCGAGUUCGAGUUAUGACCUUAGCUGUUUUUUUUUUUCCUUUUCGUUGUAUAAAAGAUCCAAAUCCUACACAUCUUCAGUUUUUAGGUGAAUUAUCUUGCUAAACCCUCAACAUGAGUGAUUGUGCGGCAGCAGGUAAACCAGAUCAUUAUGAAGGAGAUUUGAACCUUUCCAUCAUGAAAUACUACAUGGAUGGCUUGAAAAAGGUUUUCGUAUACGCACACAGACAAGCUGGGACAAAUAAAUACAUGUAAGAGGCCGUCUUGGCAACUGGUCACGAUACAGGAAAGAGGCUUUACCGCUCAGUCACGGAUUGAGCCACAAAUUGACCACAAUUUCUGGCCAAAUCCAUUCAAUAAUUCAUUAUUUGUGAUUCCUCAAAGAGUUCUUAGUGAGCUAUCCUUUUUCCGUCUUGGUUUUGAAGCAUCUUUUUUUGCAUGUUUGUCCAUCCUUGUGAACUGAUAGCUGCCAUGUCAGGUUGGCAUGUUUUCAUCUUCCAGGCGAAAAAAACUGAAAACUGAACAAAACAAACCAAACCGAGAAAAACAAAACAAAAGGAAUAAAUUAACAGAAACAGAAACUAAAAGUAAGGAACAAAACGAAAACAAAAUGAACGAACAAAAAACAUAUAACUUACUGAUCUCUCACAUUUCAAAAUGAUGACAGGAAGUUGAAAUGUCACGUUACGCUAUUUUCGUUAGCUUUCCUUCUAAAAACAAAUCUUGACUUAUGCCAAAUUGGCUCGUUUAAGAUUGAGACAACUGACAUGGAAACACAGUUGCGUAAUUGCUUCCUUUUUUUCUUGGAAAAGAAGCUUCACCUUUCUGAUGGUGGGUGACUAAUCCUGCUUCUGCCUCGUAGUCACAUACAACGUUCUGUAAGUGACUAGCUUCAUUAAUAUGCGAUGUAAACAUAACUGUACCAUAUCUGUGCACACUUGGGGUUAUAUUUACUUAAGAUCUGAUAACUUACAAUUAUGAGUCCUUUUGUAAUUGCAAAUGGAGAUAUUUUAUGCUAUUUCUGUGAGUGGGGAUUUCAUCAUAGUUGGAUAGAGAACAGAAUACUUUGUUAAAAAUUACAAACUCGGAGAUUAAAGAAAUUUCCAACAUUUUUCUAAACUUUGUAAAUUAAUUG
rnacentral:misc_RNA from 1 species